rnacentral:rRNA from 1 species
AGUCGAGCGAGAAAAGGGGGGCAACUCCCUGAGUACAGCGGCGCACGGGUGAGUAACACGUGGGUAAUCUGCCCUGAAGUGGGGAAUAACACCGGGAAACCGGUGCUAAUACCGCAUACGAUCACGAGGUCUGCGGAUUUUGUGAUGAAAGGAGCAAUUCGCUUUAGGAGGAGCCCGCGGCUGAUUAGCUAGUUGGUGAGGUAAUGGCUCACCAAGGCUACGAUCAGUAUCCGGUCUGAGAGGACGGUCGGACACACUGGAACUGAGACACGGUCCAGACUCCUACGGGAGGCAGCAGUGGGGAAUUUUUCGCAAUGGGGGCAACCCUGACGAAGCAACGCCGCGUGGGUGAUGAAGUCUCUUGGGACGUAAAACCCUUUCGACGGGGAAGAAACCGCAAGGUUGACGGUACCCGUAGAAGAAGCCCCGGCUAACUCCGUGCCAGCAGCCGCGGUAAUACGGGGGGGGCAAGCGUUGUUCGGAAUUACUGGGCGUAAAGGGUGCGUAGGCGGUUCGUUAAGUUGGAUGUGAAAACUCUGGGCUCAACCCAGAGCCUGCAUCCAAAACUGGCGGGCUAGAGUUCUGGAGGGGGUAGUGGAAUUCCUGGUGUAGCGGUGAAAUGCGUAGAUAUCAGGAGGAACACCGGUGGCGAAGGCGGCUACCUGGACAGAAACUGACGCUGAGGCACGAAAGCUAGGGGAGCAAACAGGAUUAGAUACCCUGGUAGUCCUAGCCCUAAACGAUGGAUACUUGGUGUGAC